rnacentral:tmRNA from 1 species
GGGGGUGUACUGGAUUCGACGGGAUGAGUAACACCGCAGGUUGCAUGUCGAGGAUGUCCAAUGGUUCUCGUAAAACACCCAUUAUGGAAAUUAAAAUAAUUGACAACAAUUAUUCAUACCGCUUAGCAGCAUAAACUGCUUGAGCCGUUCCGCUGAAAGCGUGCCUGUCAGCGUCAGUUAGGAACGCCAUAACAGAUAGGAUAGCGUAGCAGAGUUUUCUGUCUCUGAUACGUGAAACUUUUACAGAAUAGUGAGGCGUCGCUUGGUUGCUAGGCUCGGCGUCUUGCGAAUGUUAAUUAGCAACUAAACAUGUAGAUAUUUGCAGGUUUGCCUUUUCGGACCGGGGUUCGACUCCCCGCAC